AGAGUUUGAUCAUGGCUCAGAGUGAACGCUGGCGGCGUGCCUAACACAUGCAAGUCGAACGAGAACGGAUUACAGCUUGCUGUAAUUGUCAGCUAAGUGGCGCACGGGUGAGUAAUAUAUAGUUAAUCUGCCCCAAAGAAGAGAAUAAUUGUUGGAAACGACUUGUAAUGCUCUAUAUGCCUUUAUCACAUAAGUGAGCAAGGGAAAUAUUUAUAGCUUUGGGAUGAGACUGUACGGUAUCAGCUAGUUGGUGAGGUAAUGGCUCACCAAGGCUAUGACAUCUAACUGGUUUGAGAGGAUGAUCAGUCACACUGGAACUGAGACACGGUCCAGACUCCUACGGGAGGCAGCAGUGGGGAAUAUUGCACAAUGGAGGAAACUCUGAUGCAGCAACGCCGCGUGGAGGAUGACACAUUUCGGUGCGUAAACUCCUUUUAUAUGAGAAGAUAAUGACGGUAUCAUAUGAAUAAGCACCGGCUAACUCCGUGCCAGCAGCCGCGGUAAUACGGGGGGUGCAAGCGUUACUCGGAAUCACUGGGCGUAAAGAGCAUGUAGGCUGGUAAUUAAGUUGGAAGUGAAAUCCUAUGGCUCAA
rnacentral:rRNA from 1 species